rnacentral:lncRNA from 1 species
UAUGGCGUGAUUUGCUAUCUGGGAAUACACUGGGUAUCUAGCUGUAGAGAGUGUACCUUAAACCUUUAUAUGAUUCUUUUCUUGGCUUCCAAAACUCAUUUAUUUUUGUAUAAAACUCCAAAUAUAAAAAAAUCCCUUCAAAAUAUAUUUUUCCCGCGAAGGGUUUUCUCGCUUGGAACUUUAGAAAAUCAUAACUAUUGAUCUAACCGUUCAGUUUGUUUCAAAUUUACAAGAUAGGUAGAAUUUACCCUUAACUUUUACCACAAAAAAAACCAAC